UACGGAGGGGGCAAGCGUUACUCGGAAUUAUUGGGCGUAAAGGGUGCGUAGGCGGCGCGGUAAGUCGGGUGUGAAAUCUCGGAGCUUAACUCCGAAACUGCAUUCGAUACUGCCGUGCUUGAGGACUGGAGAGGAGACUGGAAUUUACGGUGUAGCGGUGAAAUGCGUAGAUAUCGUAAGGAAGACCAGUGGCGAAGGCGGGUCUCUGGACAGUUCCUGACGCUGAGGCACGAAGGCCAGGGGAGCAAACGGG
rnacentral:rRNA from 1 species